rnacentral:lncRNA from 1 species
AAGCUUCGGCGAAAAAGAAUUGUCCGAAAGAAGUAGGGUGGAUGAGGAAAAACCUAACUAUUCUUUCAACAAACGCUGAGUUUGAUGGUUUUGAUACCAUGCUGGGACAGUUUUGCUUCAGUUCCGCCAUGACAUGUGUUUCCUAUGGAAGUAGGAUGGAUGAGGGAAAAGAAAAUUGUAACUGGUGUUUCAGUUGCCUAUCAAAGUAGGAUGGAUGAGGAAAAACAAUUGUAGCUGGUGUUUCAGUUGCAAUUUGGGGCCAAGAUCAAAGGCUUGCUAUUUUUUUACUCAGAGGCGAUUCAUCCGGUUCGCUGAAGGUCCCCACCAUUCUCCUAUGUUGGUUUGAGCAGAAGUACGCCUCUGAAGUUCUAAC